rnacentral:rRNA from 1 species
UAUCCUGUCUGAAUAUGGGGGGACCAUCCUCCAAGGCUAAAUACUCCUGACUGACCGAUAGUGAACCAGUACCGUGAGGGAAAGGCGAAAAGAACCCCGGCGAGGGGAGUGAAAAAGAACCUGAAACCGUGUACGUACAAGCAGUGGGAGCACCCUUCGGGGUGUGACUGCGUACCUUUUGUAUAAUGGGUCAGCGACUUAUAUUCUGUAGCAAGGUUAACCGAAUAGGGGAGCCGGAGGGAAACCGAGUCUUAACCGGGCGUUAAGUUGCAGGGUAUAGACCCGAAACCCGGUGAUCUAGCCAUGGGCAGGUUGAAGGUUGGGUAACACUAACUGGAGGACCGAACCGACUAAUGUUGAAAAAUUAGCGGAUGACCUGUGGCUGGGGGUGAAAGGCCAAUCAAACCGGGAGAUAGCUGGUUCUCCCCGAAAGCUAUUUAGGUAGCGCCUCGUGAAUUCAUCUCCGGGGGUAGAGCACUGUUUCGGCUAGGGGGCCAUCCCGGCUUACCAACCCGAUGCAAACUGCGAAUACCGGAGAAUGUUAUCACGGGAGACACACGGCGGGUGCUAACGUCCGUCGUGAAGAGGGAAACAACCCAGACCGCCAGCUAAGGUCCCAAAGUCAUGGUUAAGUGGGAAACGAUGUGGGAAGGCCCAGACAGCCAGGAUGUUGGCUUAGAAGCAGCCAUCAUUUAAAG